rnacentral:rRNA from 1 species
GAUGAACGCUAGCGGCAGGCUUAAUACAUGCAAGUCGAGGGGCAGCAUGACUGUAGCAAUACAGUUGAUGGCGACCGGCAAACGGGUGCGGAACACGUACAGAACCUUCCUUCGAGCGGGGAAUAGCCCAGAGAAAUUUGGAUUAAUACCCCAUAGUACAACGGAGUGGCAUCACUUUGUUGUUAAAGAUUUAUCACUUGAAGAUGGCUGUGCGGCUGAUUAGGUAGUUGGCGGGGUAACGGCCCACCAAGCCUGCGAUCAGUAACUGGUGUGAGAGCACGACCAGUCACACGGGCACUGAGACACGGGCCCGACUCCUACGGGAGGCAGCAGUAAGGAAUAUUGGUCAAUGGACGAAAGUACUGAACCAGCCAUGCCGCGUGGAGGAUGAAG